rnacentral:rRNA from 1 species
UCCGUAGGGCGCAAGCGUUAUCCGGAAUUAUUGGGCGUAAAGAGCGUGUAGGCGGUUAUACAGGUCCGCUGUUAAAACUGGAGGCUUAACCUCCAGACGUCGGUGGAAACCGUAUAACUAGAGUUCGGAAGAGGAGAGUGGAAUUCCUGGUGUAGCGGUGAAAUGCGCAGAUAUCAGGAAGAACACCCGUGGCGAAGGCGGCUCUCUGGGACGGUACUGACGCUGAGACGCGAAAGCGUGGGGAGCGAACAGG